rnacentral:tRNA from 1 species
GCCAGAGUGGUGAAAUGGUAUACACGGCGGAUUCAAAAUCCNCGGAUUCAAAAUCCGCUGCCUUCGGGCGUAGGGGUUCAAGUCCCCUCUCUGGUACCA